UACGUAGGGUGCGAGCGUUGUCCGGAUUUAUUGGGCGUAAAGAGCUCGUAGGCGGUGGGUCACGUCGAUCGUGAAAACCUGCAGCUUAACUGUGGGCGUGCGGUCGAUACGGGCAUAACUGGAGUUCGGCAGGGGAGACUGGAAUUCCUGGUGUAGCGGUGAAAUGCGCAGAUAUCAGGAGGAACACCGGUGGCGAAGGCGGGUCUCUGGGCCGAUACUGACGCUGAGGAGCGAAAGCGUGGGGAGCAAACAGG
rnacentral:rRNA from 1 species